ensembl:lincRNA
AAAUGAGGAUAUAAGCACAGCCAGGAAAACACCAUAGAAAAAAAUUAGAAAUGAGUGUUAGCAAAUGCUAAAAUUCUUUAACUAAAACUAAGUAGCCCUGGCCCUUGAUAAAAACAUAGGCAGGUAGGAUUGAGUGGAAAUUCUAGAAAUAAAUCUAAGUUAAUAUGGAACUUUAGGGUAUUAUUCAUAUCUUUAGGAACUUUAGGGUAUUAUUCAUAUUUAGGGCAUGUUCAUGUUUUUGUAUCUAUUUCUAAGUCUCCUGCCAAAACCAAAAAUCUGUCAUUUCUGGAAUCCUCUCCCACAACAUUGUCCUGGCAGGUGCCUCUUGAUUUCAUUCUAUGCUUCCAGAUAUCAAUUUUAUUCUAUACCAACACUCUCUGAUCCAACUUUAUGUACUGAUGGAAAUGAUCUUAAUCUGUCCUCUCCAAGGGGCAGCCAUUAGCCAUUAGCCACAUAUGGCUAUUGGACCUUUCAAACAGGGUUAGUUUGACUUAGGAACUUAUUUUACAGUUCUAUUUAAUUUUAAUUCAUUUGUGUGCAAAUAGCCACAUGAGGCUAGUGGGGAUCUGUUGAGAUAAUUCUUCUAUAUGCACUGGCUUCCCCCGAACAGGUCCAAGUCUGUUUACACCAGUAUCUGUGGUGUUGCAUGAGGGAUGACUGGUUUUAUCUUUCCAGGCCUUAUUAAUUCUAUUACAGAUGUUUGGGAGGAGGAGGGCUGGUUACACCCCGAGGUUAACCUCCAAAUAGAUGACCGAAGGCUCCAGUCCUUUCCCUGGAUGCUUAAAAUGGCUUGGCGCUGGUCAGACAAGAUUGCAAAAAUUCACUCUGAACCUCAGAGUGUUGUUCUUGUACAACAUUCUUGCAUUGACCUCCGUGGCCUGAUGAAAGCUGCUCACCUUCUCGGAGGUUAACCCCUUGAUCUGCAUGAAGAGGAAGCACUGCAUUGUGGCUCCACCGUAAAGAACACAAUUGCUGCAGGAGAUUCUAGAAAUCACCAUCGAAUUAGGAAAUGGAGCAUGAGAUAUGCAAAGACAAAAAUGAUACCAGCAACAGACUAAAAAAGCAGAUGACAAAAGCCUGCGCACACCUGCCCCAUGCUCGGGCACCACCUUGGAAACUAGUACUUGUUGCCGAAACUCAGAGAUGCAGCCAUCAGUACUGUGCUGAGUUCCCCCUUCUCACAAUGUGGUUCCAGUAUUUGCUUUUCAGUUAAUUAAAAGCAUUACCAGAGUGGUGAAGGACCUAUUCAAGCAAAUGAUUGCAACCACUUUGAAUAAAAAAUAAUGAGUUCAACAUCAUUUUAUCUAGUAGAAGGAUAAGUUCUUUGCUGUCAAGUGUUCAGAAUGGCCUACAUUAGUGUCUCUUGCAAUAUGCUGCUCUGGCCCAGCUCGAAUUUCAACUCAAAAUAUACAUGUGAGUGUUUGCAUCUCUGACUUUUCACCAGUGAAUCCCUGAUGGCAAACAGCUUUCUUCCCUCUGCUUCCCCCAUUCUGUUUGGGUGCUCUUUGAACUUCACUAUGUCCUCCCUUAGCGAUCAUAAGAGACGUCUGACUGUGACACAAAGACCUUUGAAAUCACACAUUAGAGACAAUGACACAUAAAGUCGGUUAUGAGAACUAGCGUGGUGUAGAAAUACAUUAUCAAUGCACACAUCAGAUAUUUGCUUAGAAGAAAGCUUUCUAAACUGGUGCAUUUGAAGAUUCAUUUUGUUCAUGUCUGACUGCUUAUGAUUUAUAAUAGUAAAGCUUCUUUCUAUCUCUCUCUUUUAACUGCUGCACUGAAAUUUACAUAAGUAAAUAUGUACUGUACAAAACUUUGUGUAUGGUUCAGGGCAAUUUUACCUCUGUAGAACAUUUGGGUUGAUCUACAACUUUGCCUACCAGGAAAUGGUUUUAAGUGUGAUAUUUUA